AUUGAACGCUGGCGGCAGGCCUAACACAUGCAAGUCGAACGAGUGGCGGACGGGUGAGUAAUGUCUGGGAAACUGCCUGAUGGAGGGGGAUAACUACUGGAAACGGGAGCUAAUACCGCAUACCAUCAGAUGUGCCCAGAUGGGAUUAGCUAGGUGGUGGGGUAACGGCUCACCAAGGCGACGAUCACUAGCUGGUCGGAGAGGAUGACCGGCCACCCUGGAACGGGACCACGGUCCAGACUCCUACGGGAGUCAGCAGUGGUGAAUAUUGCACAAUGGGCGCAAGCCUGAUGCAUCCAUGCUGCGUGUAUGAAGAAGGCCUUCGGGUUGUAAAGUACUUUCAGCGGGGAGGCGUUACCCGCAGAAGAAGCACCGGCUGACUCCGUGCCAGCAGCAGCGGUAAUUC
rnacentral:rRNA from 1 species